rnacentral:lncRNA from 1 species
GGAGGUGGUAUUGAUAGUCAUCCUUGUCCCUCUAUAUGAUUCCACAUUAGAAGUUUCUUCAUGAUUCAGACAAAACUGUCCUAACAGCAAUUGUUCUGUGGUUUGUUUGUUCAUCUCAGCAGAGGACUGCAUUGAGCCUCUGGACUUCCCUUUCCCACUUGCCUUUUCAAGAAGUCAGCAAACUUUUUCUACAAAAGGCCAGGUAGAAAAUAUUUUAGACUUUGCAGGACACAUGUGAUCUCUGUAACUUAUUUCUGUUAGUCUUUCUGGUUUUUAAGUGUUUUAUUUGCUUAUUUUUCUAAGAGUUGGACUUCCAUUUACCAUACCCAAGGUGAUCUCCCUGUUGCAACAAGGAGAAGAUCACUGGAAGGCAGAGAAAGAAAGGCUUGGAGACUCUGCUCUUGGUGAAAAUACACCUGACUCCAUCCAUUGACUUCUAUAAGAAAUUAGCCUUGGACUGUUCUGGUCAACAGGUAGCUGUUGACUUAUUCCUUCUCAGUGGACAGUAUUCUGAUUUGGCUUCUCCGGACUUCCUGUCUCUGCCCAAUGUCAACCCAGAUGCCAGGUAUACAGUACAGAUGUCAGCGGAAAAGAGUCUUCCUGACAUGCAGUUGGGUUCUUUUUCAGUCAGCACUCUUGUAUACAUCAAGCAAAGGUGAAAGAAGAAUACUAUCCGUACUUUGUGUUUGCCAGUAGUUUCAACUCUGAAUGCAGUCUUUCUGGAAGCUGAUGUUCAAGCAAUUUCAGGGUUAUUGGCCAAUAUGGGUAAGAGUGGAUAUCACUUGUAAAUAUUUUACAAGUAAAACCAUUAAGCAAAUUCACA